GAUGAACGCUGGCGGCGUGCCUAAUACAUGCAAGUCGAGCGAACGGACGAGAAGCUUGCUUCUCUGAUGUUAGCGGCGGACGGGUGAGUAACACGUGGAUAACCUACCUAUAAGACUGGGAUAACUUCGGGAAACCGGAGCUAAUACCGGAUGAUAUUUUGAACCGCAUGGUUCAAAAGUGAAAGACGGUCUUGCUGUCACUUAUAGAUGGAUCCGCGCUGCAUUAGCUAGUUGGUAAGGUAACGGCUUACCAAGGCAACGAUGCAUAGCCGACCUGAGAGGGUGAUCGGCCACACUGGAACUGAGACACGGUCCAGACUCCUACGGGAGGAAGCAGUAGGGAAUCUUCCGAAAUGGGCGAAAGCCUGACGGAGCAACGCCGCGUGAGUGAUGAAGGUCUUCGGAUCGUAAAACUCUUUUAUUAGGGAAGAACAUAUGUGUAAGUAACUGUGCACAUCGUGACGGUACCUAAUCAGAAAGCCACGGCUAACUACGUG
rnacentral:rRNA from 1 species